rnacentral:rRNA from 1 species
UGCUUAUGCAGUUGGUUUUUUAGUGGCGGACGGGUGAGGAACGCGUAAGAACCUACCCUUAGAUGGGGGACAACAGCUGGAAACGGCUGCUAAUACCCCAUAAGCUGAGGAGCAAAAGCAUUAAUGCGUCUAAGGAUGGGCUUGCGUCUGAUUAGCUUGUUGGUAAGGUAAAAGCUUACCAAGGCGACGAUCAGUAGCUGGUCUGAGAGGAUGAUCAGCCACACUGGGACUGAGACACGGCCCAGACUCC